rnacentral:rRNA from 1 species
CAGCAGCCGCGGUAAUACAGAGGGUGCAAGCGUUAAUCGGAAUUACUGGGCGUAAAGCGCGCGUAGGUGGUUUGUUAAGUUGGAUGUGAAAUCCCCGGGCUCAACCUGGGAACUGCAUCCAAAACUGGCAAGCUAGAGUAUGGUAGAGGGUGGUGGAAUUUCCUGUGUAGCGGUGAAAUGCGUAGAUAUAGGAAGGAACACCAGUGGCGAAGGCGACCACCUGGACUGAUACUGACACUGAGGUGCGAAAGCGUGGGGAGCAAACAGGAUUAGAGACCCCGGUAGUCCCUGUCUCUUAUAC